CACCAGUGGCGAAAGCGGCUCUCUGNUCUGUCACUGACGCUGAGGCUNGAAAGCGUGGGUAGCGAACAGGAUUAGAUACCCUGGUAGUNCACGCCGUAAACGAUGAGUGCUAGGUGUUAGGCCCNUUCCGGGGCUUAGUGCCGGAGCUAACGCAAUAAGCACUCCGCCUGGGGAGUACGACCGCAAGGUUGAAACUCAAAGGAAUUGACGGGGGCCCGCACAAGCGGUGGAGCAUGUGGUUUAAUUCGAAGCAACGCGAAGAACCUUACCAGGUCUUGACAUCCCGAUGCUAUUCUUAGAGAUAGGAAGUUACUUCGGUACAUCGGAGACAGGUGGUGCAUGGUUGUCGUCAGCUCGUGUCGUGAGAUGUUGGGUUAAGUCCCGCAACGAGCGCAACCCUUAUUGUUAGUUGCCAUCAUUAAGUUGGGCACUCUAGCGAGACUGCCGGUAAUAAACCGGAGGAAGGUGGGGAUGACGUCAAAUCAUCAUGCCCCUUAUGACCUGGGCUACACACGUGCUACAAUGGUCGGUACAACGAGUUGCGAGCCGGUGACGGCAAGCUAAUCUCUGAAAGCCGAUCUCAGUUCGGAUUGGAGGCUGCAACUCGCCUCCAUGAAGUCGGAAUCGCUAGUAAUCGCGGAUCAGCACGCCGCGGUGAAUACGUUCCCGGGCCUUGUACACACCGCCCGUCACACCACGAGAGUUUGUAACACCCGAAGUCGGUGAGGUANCCUUUUAGGG
rnacentral:rRNA from 1 species